CCCCCCCCCCCCGACAAAGUUCUGCCUCUGGAAACUCCAGUAAUCUUUCAGUUUUCUUUGUGGCAGGAGUUGCAAGACUUUCUUGUUCUGAAUCCAUCUUCCCAUUCGUUAUUCCUCGCACUGCUGGCACGGGCCUGUAAGCAUUUGCUGCGUGCGGACAUGAUGGAGCGACAGCGUGCAGCUGUCUCUCUCCUGUUUUCCUGCUCCUUCCCUCUUCAGUCUUGGAUCCGAGACGCUUCAACCCCUGCAGCCUCACCGUAAGUCCAUGAGCUGCUUCUCGUGUGCGUGUGAGCACGUGCACACGUGUGUGAGGGUGGCAGCUGGGGCCGCAGUGUGGAGGUGCACCUGCUAAGGUUGUACUGUGAAAUGUUCCCAGCCCCCAUGCUUCUCACCUAGGGUCUCUCCCUACUUGUCCUUUUCUCUAGCUUGCGUUUUCGGGCAGGAGGUGACUGCAGAUGGGCACCAAGCGGUAUCCCUUCCACUGGAUUUUCCAUUUCUCCCUGGAAGCUGGAACGUGCCUUCCAAAGUUCAUCCUGUUUUGGCUCCUGACCCAUUCCAGCCUUGAAGAGGCACCUGCUUAACUGAAGGCUGAGUAUUUCGCGUGAAAUUCCUCGUUUUCUUGGGCAUCUAGCCUGGCCUGCUCUUCCUCUGGGAAGUAGCCUUAUGAAGCUAGAGUGAUAAAAUAAUAAAUGCAUGUAGUUCCUCAGUUACAAUGAAGACUGGCAUCCGCUAAGUCCUGCCACUGCGCUGCCUCAGGGAUAUUUCCUUGGCAGCGUCAGAGAUGCUGUGCAUCUCCUCCGGCGUUAGGAAGCUAACGGAGGGGCGCAAAGGGAGCUUUCCUGGGGCCUGCGGCCACUCCCUCGUUCCCCUCUGGGAGAAAGGGGAAUGCUGUGCGGAGUCCCUUUGCCCGGAUUUUUACUAGAAUAGGCACAUAGCUGAGGUGUAUAUGUUUCUCCUUUCCGCAAAUAAUUUCUCCAUUACAAAGGGGGAAUUCGAUUCCAUGGUUUAGCAACUUCAAACCGUAAAGAUUUCCCCUGAAGGCAGGUACAGCCUGCUGCCUGACCGUAAAUCCCAGAAACAGGCUGCAAUUCAAGUGACACCCACCAACAUGUACUGCUGACUGUUACAGCUAAUACUAUGAUUUGUUCACAGCCUGAAUUCUGAAUAUCAACGCUUGCUAUGCAGACUACAGUGACACAUUCUGAUCUCCAAAGGAACAGGUGAGAAAACCUGAUAUUAUCAGGAUUCAGUUAGGAUUUUGACAGGCACAGACUUACCCUUCACAAAGCUGUCCAACAUUAGCCCCAUUUAAUUGCCGCCAGUUCUCUUGCAGGUAAUACGGAUAUUCUGAAAGCCGUCUGAAAUAAAACACUAAGCGUGACUUUGUUUUUAGCGUUCCUUUUUGCGGCUCUUUCCCGUGCAGCUGUUAGCACCAAACCCCCACCCCAAGCCACAGCAAAACUGCUGUAGAUCGCUGGCCUGCUCUGGUGCCGCUCAGGUCAGGGUCCUAAACGUGCCGCUGGUACCUUUGCAGAGGUGCUGCACUAACGGCAAAUGAACUGGCCAGCUGCUCACAUCUCGAAGCUGCCUGGAGCUUUAAGCUAAGUCUGUGCACAGCUCUUAGGACAGGAGGAGAUGUUUUCACUUCUGCUGCAAGGACCCUGCUCCUUGAUCACAGGAAACUAAAUACCUGUGCUAUCUGGCAGGAAUUACACACACCUCCAAAGAAAACAUAGCGAGAGCUCCAGUUGCCUAACGCUGGCUUGCAUUAGCUACCUAAGUAUGGGUAAUUACUGAUUUUUGCGUGUGUACUUCAAGGGCGUGUGGAGCUUUGUGUACUUUAACCUUGUUUCUGGUUUGAGAAACUAUCAGACCAGACACACGCGGUGUGCCGACAUACUGAGAUGUAGAUCUCUCGUCAGACACGGAACUGUGCUAUAGCCUGCUCCACCAAAACAACUUUCAGGGACAGAUGGCAGACUUUAAAUUCAGAAGGAAACUAAAACUAGAAGCCAGGUCCUGGCCUACUGCCAGCAACCAAGACGCAGGCAAGCUUCUGGACAAUCAACUUGUAUUUCUUUUGAAGAAGAAAAUCAAUAUUUAAAAAAAAAAUCGUGUUUGCAUUGAAUCACUUUGCUUAAUUGGGAGUACCCUUUUCCUGAUACAGCCUCUUUGAGUUAAUCUUAUCCCCCCGCCCCGUACCCCCACUUGCACUAAAGUUGCUUUGCUACCUUGUUGCACCCUGACUUACACCUGAGGCAAACAGACGUUGUUGCACCAGAAAAUUGGAGGGUGGGAAACCGUGCGCCCCUCUGCCUGUAUUACAGAAUCCCUGCAUCAACAUGGGUUUGCUUCAACUGUGCUGGAUCACUGGAAAAGUUGGAGCUUUCCUCUGGUAUAAGUCCUCCUAAUCUCUUCAGCUUGGCACCACAGCAGGAUGCCGGAUUUGUAGGUGCAGCAGUGGAACGUGCAGGAUGCACAAAAUAAUCGUCCUUCUUAGCACGAGGGCUCGUUUGGAGCAGCCUGUCCGCGUUCAAGCACGGUGCCACAAGCAGAACGCAGGCCAAACUGACAGCUGCCUCGGGGAAACGGCACGAUCAGAGGAAGCUUUAAACGUGCGGCCUAGGAGCGAUGCCUGUGUCACCCCAACAAGUUAACUGGGGAAAGAGAAGACUGAAAGGGGAGACGCAAGAGACAACUUUGUGAAGGGCCGUUACAAAGAGGAAGGUAGUAGGUGGGUCUCCGUAUCUGCGAAGGGAUGUGAUUAGAUAGGACGAGACUGCCAUCUCAGUUAAAAUAGUAACGCAGUCGCAGUUUGAAAAAAGCACUGGUGAAACUGGAACCUGAAAGUCGCUUCAGCAAGAAAAGAUGCUGCAGGAAAGCUAGAGCUGUGCAGGGAGCCUUGCUUGGUAAAAUAAAACCAGCGCUUUAGCCUCUCGAGUGCCUGGGCUUCAGAGCCUACCUGGUCAUCAGAUGACUACCCUUACGCACACAGAGGGAUAGUCAUCUCUAUUAACUGUGUAAUCCUACAUUCUUGUGCUCUUAAAAGGGCUUAUUUGACUUAAAUGGGAUUAAAUGCAGAGGUUGCUAAUGUAAAUCUGAAGAAUUCAAGGAUGAAGUCCCUUCUAGUAAUAUCCCUAAUAGUUUUACAAGCCAAAAAGCAUUGCUUCUGCAAGCAACUCCUGCAGUGACUCUGCUCCUUGCUUGGCUUCCCGACACCUCUCCCCUUGCCUUCUCCUGCAGAUGCCUCCGCACCGCCAGCCUCCUCGCAGGUGGAGGCACCGGGAAGGAGAGGCCCUGGAGGAAAGCCUGUGCCAGAGCACUGGGGCCUUCCAGAGGGCACCUCGCCACCGAGUUUGCAGCCUUCCUACCACGAGCGCUGCAAAAUUCACACUUCUAGGAGGUGAAGCGGUGGUGGUACGGUAAAAGGAAGGAGUGCUGCAGGAGCAAUGGUGGCUUUGGGAGCUGCAGCAUCCUGCUGCCCAGCGCUGACUGAGAUUGAUAGCCUUGCUGAAAGAAAACCAGUAUAACCAGCUUAAAAAUAGAGAAGCUGUAAGAGUCUGAAGUGCUCUGGCGUGUGUCACCCAAGCUAGUUGCCUAUUAAUACCAACAGGAGCAAAGACCACAAGUUCAGCUACCAAGAGCCACAUUGCAGAGUGCUCAAGCAAGUAUUCCAGCUCACUCUUGGUACUGGCCAUUGCGAAUGAGGCAUUUGCAGUCUUACCUUAAGUCGCUAUUUUAUUUUAAUCAACAUAUUCUUACUGAUUUAUUACUACGAUUUAAGAAUCAACAUUUAAUUGGUUUGCAACAGAACUCCUGUUACCAUUUUUUCUUGGGUGCGGGCUCUAACUUUCCUUAGGGCUUUGGGAAAAACACAAGAAAAUAAGGUAUGCCAUUAAAAUAUACAAUGUUCUAGAAAUCCUAAUUCAGUAGUACAAAGUAAUCCACUGAAAACUAUUCAGCAAUUUUUAGGAUUAUGUUCUGUUUCCAGGACAGUCGUCCCUCAAAAGAGGUGACACUGACAAUUUGUGCAUUAGCAGAUAUAAUGACCGACACCUCUCUACCUCCUUCUCCCUUCCUCAUGCUCUUCUUCCAUACAAUGUGCGACACUGACUACCGGCACUGAGAACCUAAACCAAUUUUUGCUGUCAGUACUGUAUGUUGACCUUGAAUGACCUGCUCUUUGCGCAGCUCCCUUUCUACCCACAGCCCUGAAUAAAACAAGGUUUCAGACAGA